rnacentral:rRNA from 1 species
UACGUAGGGGGCAAGCGUUGUCCGGAUUUAUUGGGCGUAAAGAGCGUGUAGGCGGCCAAGCAGGUCCGCUGUGAAAACUCGAGGCUCAACCUCGAGACGUCGGUGGAAACCGUUUGGCUGGAGUCCGGAAGAGGAGAGUGGAAUUCCCGGUGUAGCGGUGAAAUGCGCAGAUAUCGGGAAGAACACCCGUGGCGAAGGCGGCUCUCUGGGACGGUACUGACGCUGAGACGCGAAAGCGUGGGGAGCGAACAGG